rnacentral:rRNA from 1 species
AUGGGAGCGAGAGAGCACGGUGCGUACGGUUUUGAGCUUGGGGAGGUGGUCUUUGGUGGGGAGGUCGUCGCGGCCGACGACGUCGAGGACCUCCUGGCGGGCGCGGUCCUGCCACUCCGGGUGCAUGGCGAGGGCGACGGUGGCCCAGGUGAGGAGGCUGACGAGCGUCUCCUUCCCGGCGAAGAAGAAGUUCUUGCUCUCCUCGAUGAUCUCCUCCGUCGUCAUGGCCGGCGUCAUGAAGCUCAUCAGGUCCCUCAUGCCGUCCCGCCGCUGCUCGUCGCCGUGACCGUCCUUGGGCAGGUUGGCGAUGAAGGCGGCCAGGCCCUUCCUGAUCUCCCUGACCAGGUGCCACACGCGCAGGUUCCUCCUCAGCGGCAGGAAGCGGUACCCGGGGAUGUACACCUUGCUGUGCGCGUCGGCGGCGAGGCCGGCGAGCUCGUCCUGGAGCUCGAACACUACCCUGCCGUCCUCGUAGUUCCGGCGCCCGAAGGUGGCGAAGGUGAUGACCUCCUGCGGCACGCGCUGGAACCACUCGGCCACGUCCACCUCCGCCUCGCCGCCGGCGCCAUUGCCGACGGCCUUCGCCGCCAGCUCGUCGAGCAUCCGGCGCAUGGUGGCGGCGAUGAAGGGCACGAGCGGCUUGAGGUUCUCGGUGUGGAACGCCGGGGAGAGGACGCGGCGGUGGCGCGCCCAGUGGUCGCCCCGGAGGUUGCCGAGGCCGUAGCCCUCGAACUGGCAGAUGAGCGGGUGCGCCUCGUACCUGUCGAAGUGCUCCGCCCGCGUCAGCAGCACCUCCCGGACCAGCUCCGGCGCGCUGAUCGUCAGCCUCGCCUUGGUCCCGAACCAGAUCAGAUGCUUCGGACCUGCCAAACAACACGCACAAAUUCAGCCAAACAUGUUGUCUGA